rnacentral:rRNA from 1 species
CUCCUGUCUUCUGUGAAGAUCAAGCCUAUGAACAGAAUGCUUAGGCCCUGACGUAACAGAGGAGGAAGCCCCGGCUAACUACGUGCCAGCAGCCGCGGUAAUACGUAGGGGGCAAGCGUUGUCCGGAAUCACUGGGCGUAAAGCGCGCGCAGGCGGCUGUCUGCGUCCGGGGUGAAAGCCCAGAGCUCAACUGUGGGAUUGCCUUGGAUACGGGAUGGCUUGAGGAUCGGAGAGGCAAGGGGAAUUCCACGUGUAGCGGUGAAAUGCGUAGAGAUGUGGAGGAACACCUGUGGCGAAGGCGCCUUGCUGGCCGAUUUCUGACGCUGAGGCGCGAAAGCGUGGGGAGCAAACAGGAUUAGAUACCCUGGUAGUCCACGCCGUAAACGAUGAGUGCUAGGUGUUGGGGGGUACCACCCUCAGUGCCGAAAGCUAACGCAUUAAGCACUCCGCUGGGAGUACGUCGCAGAA